UACGGAGGGUGCAAGCGUUAUCCGGAUUCACUGGGUUUAAAGGGUGCGUAGGUGGAUCGGUAAGUCCGUGGUGAAAUCCCCGAGCUUAACUCGGGAACUGCCGUGGAUACUAUCGAUCUUGAAUACUGUGGAGGUAAGCGGAAUAUGUCAUGUAGCGGUGAAAUGCUUAGAUAUGACAUAGAACACCAAUUGCGAAGGCAGCUCGCUACACAUAUAUUGACUCUGAGGCACGAAAGCGUGGGGAGCAAACAGG
rnacentral:rRNA from 1 species